AUACGGAGGAUCCGAGCGUUAUCCGGAUUUAUUGGGUUUAAAGGGUGCGCAGGCGGCCAUUUAAGUCAGCGGUUAAAUCGUGGGGCUCAACCCCAUUCUGCCGUUGAUACUGGGUGGCUUGAUUGCGGUCGAGGUUGGCGGAAUUCGUUGUGUAGCGGUGAAAUGCAUAGAUAUGACGAAGAACAACGAUUGCGUAGGCAGCUGACCAGACCGCAAAUGACGCGCAUGCACGAAAGUGCGGGGAUCGAACAGGAUUAGAUACCCUGGUAGUCCGCACAGUAAACGAUGAAUACUUGGUUUCGGCGAUAUAAUGUCGGAGGCAAAGCGAAAGCGAUAAGUAUUCCACCUGGGGAGUACGCCGGCAACGGUGAAACUCAAAUGAAUUGACGGGG
rnacentral:rRNA from 1 species